rnacentral:rRNA from 1 species
CGGGGUGAGUAACGCGUGGGUGACCUGCCCCAUACCGGGGGAUAACAGCUGGAAACGGCUGCUAAUACCGCAUAAGCGCACAGAGCUGCAUGGCUCAGUGUGAAAAACUCCGGUGGUAUGGGAUGGGCCCGCGUCUGAUUAGGCAGUUGGCGGGGUAACGGCCCACCAAACCGACGAUCAGUAGCCGGCCUGAGAGGGCGACCGGCCACAUUGGGACUGAGACGCGGCCCAA